rnacentral:rRNA from 1 species
AUUGAACGCUGGCGGCAGGCCUAACACAUGCAAGUCGAACGAGUGGCGGACGGGUGAGUAAUGUCUGGGAAACUGCCUGAUGGAGGGGGAUAACUACUGGAAACGGUAGCUAAUACCGCAUACCAUCGGAUGUGUCCAGAUGGGAUUAGCUAGUGGGUGGGGUAAAGGCUCACCCAGGCGACGAUCCCUAGCUGGUCUGAGCGGAAGACAGGCCACACUGGAACUGAGACGCGGUCCAGACUCCGACGUGAGGCAGCAGUGGGGAAUAGUGCACAAUGGGAGCAGGCCUGAUGCAGACAUGCCGCGUGUAGUAAGAAGGCCUUCAGGUUGGAAAGUGCUUUCAGCGGGAGGGAGUUACCCGAAGAAGAAGCACCGGCUAACUCCGUGCCAGCAGCCGCGGUAAUAC